AGAUCGGUCUAUGAAUCCCGUCCUAGGUAUAGGCUCAUACCUGUCAUACCGCUCAUAUCCAAUAAGGAAGCGGAAUAUCUGUGAUUGAUUGCAGAGUUUGAUACGCCCGAUACGCGCGUAUUGCACGUAUUGAGGUGCCUUUUCACGCUGACGCUUGACCACUGAUCUCAUUAAAGUGGAUAUGGCAUAGGACGAAAUAAGUGUGACCAAUUGAAGGUUGUAGUCUCUGUACACAAUAUGGCGGUGUAUACGAAUACGAACACAGUUUACUGUGACGAUGAUACGAAAUUCCACGUGUAAUUAAUUAUCUAUAGACGUAGAUGUGUAGCAGUUUUAUCCAAAAUAUUACUUUUUUUAUAAUAAAAAUAGUAAAAUAGUAAAAUAGUGAGAUUCCAAAAUUAAAAAAUGUGUUUAUUGUGGAAAAGGAAGUGAAAAUAAACAACAAACGUUUCAUAGCUGCAAGUAUGGAUUACUACAACACAAUUAAGGACACGAGGACAAAAUAAGCUAUAACAAUACCCUUUAAACUUAUUUAUAAGUUUAGUAGUAGUAGUAUUAUUUAUUAGUAAAAUUAUUUAACAAGAUGGUCAUAAAUAAAAAUUUACGAUUUUUAGAC